GCGCCGCGGGAGCAGAAGCGCGGCCGGCGGGAAAAUCCGCGUGGGAGGCAGUAGCGGCUGACGCUCUGGACCCGGCUUCGGAGACGCCACACCUGGGCCCGCGGGGAAGAGCAGUGAGGACCCAGACCCUGACACCGAAGCAGAGAAGCGCGAGAGCCCGAUCGGGGUGCGAAAAGGCCGAGGGAGCUCGGCCCCCGGUCGGCUCGGAAGGGAAGCACCGCGCUGCAAGCCUGCCCCGGAAAUCAGAUCCCCUCUUGGAGAGAGCCACUGGGCGAUGGUAGCCUCAGCUUGCAACGCCAGCGGCUGGGCCUGCAUUCCGAGGCCAGGGCUCCCCGGGUUUCCGCCAGCGACUUUCCGGUGGACGAAAUUCGUUGGAAACGUGGCUCUUUCUUCGCACUGCACCGAGAAGGCAGAGUGAACGGUGCGGCCGUUCUCGGUGGUCAGCUAGGAGAAGCAGCCUCUCACUGCUCCCCAGCCUGAAAGGCUGAGUCCCCCCACCCCACCCCAGACCCCAGUACGAGAUAGCUACCCUCUUUCGCCUCCAGAGGAUGGCCUUUCCCACCCGGCAUCUAUUCCGCCAAAAGCCCGGGUCCCAGCGCGCGAGCACCAGCCCUGGGCCUGGCCGGCCCUUGCUGGGCACUAAUGAAGUGUGCAGAGACUAUUAAAGCGGUUUAUUUGGCGCUAAUUGAGCGUGAGUAGUUAACUGUCUGCAGUAAGCACCAAACGAACUCCUCAAGCUUGCGCCUGGAGGGGCGCGGCGGCACCACCGAGUGAC